rnacentral:tRNA from 1 species
GACCCUGUCGUCUAGUGGCCAAGGACCUCAAGAUUUCCUCCUGAAGACGCUGGUUCGAAUCCAGCUGGGGUCGCCA